AGAGUUUGAUCCUGGCUCAGGAUGAACGCUAGCUACAGGCUUAACACAUGCAAGUCGAGGGGAAACGAUAUUGGAAGCUUGCUUCCGAUAGGCGGCGACCGGCGCACGGGUGAGUAACGCGUAUCCAACCUGCCCUUUACUCCGGGAUAGUCUCCUGAAAGGGAGUUUAAUACCGGAUGUGUUUGUCUUUCCGCAUGGGAGCGACAAAUAAAGAUUAAUUGGUAAAGGAUGGGGAUGCGUCCCAUUAGCUUGUUGGCGGGGUAACGGCCCACCAAGGCGACGAUGGGUAGGGGUUCUGAGAGGAAGGUCCCCCACAUUGGAACUGAGACACGGUCCAAACUCCUACGGGAGGCAGCAGUGAGGAAUAUUGGUCAAUGGGCGGGAGCCUGAACCAGCCAAGUAGCGUGAAGGACGACGGCCCUACGGGUUGUAAACUUCUUUUAUAAGGGAAUAAAGUUCGCCACGUGUGGUGUUUUGUAUGUACCUUAUGAAUAAGCAUCGGCUAAUUCCGUGCCAGCAGCCGCGGUAAUACGGAAGAUGCGAGCGUUAUCCGGAUUUAUUGGGUUUAAAGGGAGCGUAGGCGGGCUUUUAAGUCAGCGGUCAAAUGUCGUGGCUCAACCAUGUCAAGCCGUUGAAACUGUAAGCCUUGAGUCUGCACAAAGUGGGCACAUGGAAUUCGUGGUGUAGCGGUGAAAUGCUUAGAUAUCACGAAGAACUCCGAUCGCGAAGGCAUUGUGCCGGGGCAUAACUGACGCUGAGGCUCGAAAGUGCGGGUAUCAAACAGGAUUAGAUACCCUGGUAGUCCGCACGGUAAACGAUGAAUGCUCGCUAUGGGCGAUAUAUUGUCCGUGGCCAAGCGAAAGCGUUAAGCAUUCCACCUGGGGAGUACGCCGGCAACGGUGAAACUCAAAGGAAUUGACGGGGGCCCGCACAAGCGGAGGAACAUGUGGUUUAAUUCGAUGAUACGCGAGGAACCUUACCCGGGCUUGAAUUGCAGGUGCAUGAGUCAGAGACGGCUCUUUCCUUCGGGAUCCUGUGAAGGUGCUGCAUGGUUGUCGUCAGCUCGUGCCGUGAGGUGUCGGCUUAAGUGCCAUAACGAGCGCAACCCUUCUCCCCAGUUGCCAUCGGGUAAUGCCGGGCCCUCUGGGGACACUGCCAUCGUAAGAUGCGAGGAAGGUGGGGAUGACGUCAAAUCAGCA
rnacentral:rRNA from 1 species